UGCUUGACGUAGAAACCGGUGAAUAGUUAUGGAACACUGAGCCGUUGACUGCACCAGGUGGCUGUGUUAUGAGUCAGUUGCUUUGGCAAUAAGGCACCAGACUACAGCCAUAGUUUUGAACCUAGAAUACCAAGAGACGAGAGUAGGCAAGGAGUCGAACGAGAGGGGCGAGAGGAAUGUCAAGUUGUCCAGAAAGUAUGAUCAUUAUUGCCUCGUUGUACUUUAACAACAGUCAACUGGACAUCAAGCCCUCCUAUGAGGGCUGAGCAGAGUUGAACCAUGACGUCCCUGGAGGGCAGAACACCCUGCGCCAGGUGACCAUACAUGAGAACCAGCUGUGGCAGUGCAGGGUCCAGAUCCCUGGAGACGACAAGGGGAGGCUGUCCGCCAUAUCCAACUGGUGGUCCUGGUGGCUCCCUCUGUAAAUGUAGGACAGUGCAUGGUGAAGCAGAGUACUGGACCAACAACACCCCCAGAGCAAUCCCACCUAGGACC